AUGUGUUCUACAGUGAGUUCUGAGUAUACUGCACCGCCCUCGAGGACCUGCAGGGGGCGCGCGAAGCCAGCGUGUCUUAGGUGGCGGUGCGCAUACCCAGUCCGCGUCAGCAGCCAGCAUCUUCCCUGGGGGCGGAGCUUGUUUUCCUCAGGACUGAGCGGGCGGCGCCAUGGAGCCUCCAGGACAGCGCUGCCUGCGUGUCCGCGGGAGGAGGACGCUCCCCGCCCGCUGUCUGAAGUUACGCCGGUUUCCCACUGCCUGCGCCCGCUUCCUGCCGGGGUGUGUGUGGACCUGACCGAGCUGGGGCCCCGGCCGGCUGGGCAGGAGGGGAUGGGUGCGCUGGCGGGCCCGCUUCGACUAUUCUCGCCCGCAGGGAGCAGAUUGAAUCUGACUGAGACAUAACUUCGAUGAGAUCACACUGCUAUUAAACCUGCCCCAGAUACAUAUGCACUGGCUUGAGGACCAGCAUAUUGAAGGAACUUGAAAAUGGAAGACCACCUCCACCCUACUGCCCUCUUCAACAGAAAAGCAAUGGGACUGGUUCCUGACAUUGUGCCCUGUGGAGCUGUCAUUACAGCUUAAUCACUCCACUCACCAGAGAACUCGACAUAUCACAUCACACGUCUUAAGACUAUUUAGGAUGAUGGCACACAUUCCAAGCCAACUUUAUGAUUUCCUUUUUGGUGAUCUCCUCCUGUUGAAAAGUAAAAUGUCAUCCCAAAAGUUGUUUUCUGACGUUGGUUAUUUUAAGUGUCCACUAUCAGAUUUCCAUUCUCCCCUCUCUUUUCUCAUGUUCUCCUCUGAAUGGAUAUCCAUCCCUUUGUCAUCAUUUUGUCUAGUUUUCUGAUAUCCUAACCAUUCUCUUAAUUUCCAGUUCCACCUCCUGUAUACAAGGAACAUUAUUCUGGAAGACACUUCCCUGAAACCUGAGUUUCAACAGAAACUUGAGGGCAAGGGUUCUGCCCAUACAGUGAGAACAAGCAAUUAUAACCUUAAGAGAGUAUGGGAAUUCUGAUGUCACUACUCCGUGAUUCUUUAUUUUCAGUCAAUAAAUAACAUGUACCUCUGAUGAUGGCUGUAUGGUCAGGCCACUCAAGAUGGCUUCUCUCUAUACAUCUCCUGCUUGACUGGUGCCUGCUUCACCUACACACAACUCAUAAGACUGAUCUUCCUUCAUAUUCACCCCAGGCCCCAGCUAAUGACUGUUCUAGAUUUAGAUCAGAACUCACCACUAUGCUUAUCCAAGGGGUGGUGAGAGGCAUGACCCUGUGCUGAUUACCCUCGUAACCAAUGAGCCAACCUGACAUCAACUCCCCUAUGACUGGUAACCACUUCUUCCCCACCAGGAGCAAAGACUGCCAUCAUGUCCUGCCCUCCAGCUCCCACACAUGGCAGGAUGUUGCUCCAGGACUUUGCUUCAGAUGUGUAAGAUCACCCUAAUCAUUAAACUAUUGAUUAUCUCUGUUGCUGACUCUGGGAUCUUUCUCAGGUCUUGAAGCUGGGCAAGUACAGGGCUUGUAGACCUGCAGGGUGCAGUCCAGUGCUGACAUAGCUAAUUAAUACCCUCACAUAAAACACUUCAUUUAUAUAAACAUAAUGUAACUAGUAGCCAAAUUGGGUUCAAAAGAAUGGAAAUACAUGGAGAUCAGAAGCAACCUUAGCUCUAGGGUCCUCAGAAAGCCCAGAUUCAGUGGGAUAUCAUGGUACAGCACAAGGCUUGUGGGGAGAAAUGAAUAGCAGGCACAGCUUUGCCCAUCUCUUAUCUAAUUCUCAAUAGUUCCUUCUGCUAUUGGACCAACCUGGGAUGUGUCUAUGUCCAUUCAAAUACUAUCCCUUUCUGAAACUCUUAUGAAAAUUUCAGUGCACAUCAUGUUAAUUAUGAUGUUUCACUCAUGAUGCCACUUAAACUUAUCAUCAUCUUGCAUUGUUUCAAAAUAUUGAAUGUAUGUAAUUACUCUAAUUAUUUAUGUUGCCUUAUUUUAGUUGUGAUGGUUAUAUAUUUUUCCAGGUUUAUUUUCUUCUCUUGUAAAACUGUGCUCAAGCAAAGUAGAUCUACCCAAUGUUUCACAAUGAUACCCUGUACAUUUUGCCUUCCCAAAAUGUCACUUUAAAUAUUCUAUUUGAAGAGUUUUCUCUCUCUUCUCACUCUGUGUGAAUAGUGUUCAUCCUUCAAAAACCAGUCAAUGCCAGUGACUUCAAAAGGGUCAUUCCUCUCACAAAAGUGUAUCUGACCUUGUGAGUAUGCUUUUUCUCAGAAAAAAAGAAUCAUGAAUUUGCAUAAUUUGUUUGGCAGUUUCUAUAUGCAGGUAUAUCUUAUUUUAUUGUGCUUCACUUAACUGUACUUUGCAGAUACUGAGUUUUUUCUUUACAAAUUGAAAGUUUGUGGCAACCUGGUCUCUGGCAAGUCUGUC